rnacentral:rRNA from 1 species
GAUUAACGCUGGCGGCGUGCCUAACACAUGCAAGUCGAACGAGGUAGCAAUACCUAGUGGCAGACGGGUGAGUAACGCGUGGUCAACCUACCGUUGAGUGGGGGAUAACUAGCCGAAAGGUUAGCUAAUACCGCAUACGUCUCCGAGAGGCAUCUCUUGGCGAUAAAAGGAGCAAUCCGCUCGAUGACGGGACCGCGUCCCAUUAGCUAGAUGGUGGGGUAACGGCCUACCAUGGCUCCGAUGGGUAGCUGGUUUGAGAGAGCGACCAGCCACACUG